UACAGAGGGUGCAAGCGUUAAUCGGAAUUACUGGGCGUAAAGCGUGCGUAGACGGUUAUGUAAGUCGGGUGUGAAAGCCCUCAGCUCAACUGAGGAAGUGCGCCCGAAACUGCAGAGCUUGAGUGCCGGAGAGGGUGGCGGAAUUCCCCAAGUAGAGGUGAAAUUCGUAGAUAUGGGGAGGAACACCGGUGGCGAAGGCGGCCACCUGGACGGUAACUGACGCUGAGACGCGAAAGCGUGGGGAGCAAACAGG
rnacentral:rRNA from 1 species